rnacentral:rRNA from 1 species
UGAACGCUGGCGGUAUGCUUAACACAUGCAAGUCGAACGGUAACAGCAGAGCUUGCUCUGGCUGACGAGUGGCGGACGGGUGAGUAACGCGUGGGAAUCUACCUAUGAGUGGGGGAUAACUUGGUGAAAACCAAGCUAAUACCGCAUGUGGUCUACGGACUAAAGCAGGGGAUCUUCGGACCUUGCGCUAAUAGAUGAGCCCGCGUUAGAUUAGCUAGUUGGUGGGGUAAAGGCCUACCAAGGCGACGAUCUAUAGCUGGUCUGAGAGGACGAUCAGCCACACUGGGACUGAGACACGGCCCAGACUCCUACGGGAGGCAGCAGUGGGGAAUAUUGGACAAUGGGCGCAAGCCUGAUCCAGCAAUACCGCGUGUAUGAAGAAGGCCUGAGGGUUGUAAAGUACUUUCAAUUGUGAAGAAAAGUUGAUGGUUAAUACCCAUCGACCUUGACGUUAACUUUAGAAGAAGCACCGGCUAACUCC